rnacentral:rRNA from 1 species
ACGUAGGGUGCGAGCGUUGUCCGGAAUUACUGGGCGUAAAGAGCUCGUAGGUGGUUUGUCUCGUCGUCUGUGAAAUUCCGGGGCUUAACUCCGGGCGUGCAGGCGAUACGGGCAUAACUUGAGUGCUGUAGGGGAGACUGGAAUUCCUGGUGUAGCGGUGAAAUGCGCAGAUAUCAGGAGGAACACCGAUGGCGAAGGCAGGUCUCUGGGCAGUAACUGACGCUGAGGAGUGAAAGCAUGGGUAGCGAACAG